AACGAACGCUGGCGGCAGGCUUAACACAUGCAAGUCGAACGCCCCGCAAGGGGAGUGGCAGACGGGUGAGUAACGCGUGGGAACGUACCUUUCGCUUCGGAAUAUUCCCGGGAAACCGGGAGCAAUGCCGAAUACGCCGUAUUGGGAAAGAUUUAUCGGCGAAAGAUCGGCCCGCGUUAGAUUAGGUAGUUGGCGGUGUAAUGGACCACCAAGCCUACGAUCUAUAGCUGGUCUGAGAGGAUGAUCAGCCACACUGGGACUGAGACACGGCCCAGACUCCUACGGGAGGCAGCAGUGGGGAAUCUUGGACAAUGGGCGCAAGCCUGAUCCAGCCAUGCCGCGUGAGUGAAGAAGGCCUUAGGGUUGUAAAACUCUUUCGCCGGAGAAGAUAAUGACGGUAUCCGGAGAAGAAGCCCCGGCUAACUUCGUGCCAGCCGCCGCGGUAACAC
rnacentral:rRNA from 1 species